CCUACGGGAGGCAGCAGUGAGGAAUAUUGGUCAAUGGUCGAAAGACUGAACCAGCGACGCCGCGUGAGGGAAGAAGGAUUUCGGUACGUAAAGCUCUUUCAGCAGGGAAGAAAAUGACGGUACCUGACUAAGAAGCCCCGGCUAUCUACGUGACAGGAGCCCCGGUAAUACGUAGGGGGCCGGCGUUAUCCGGAUUUACGGGGUGUAAAGGGGGCGUAGAGGGGUGGGCAAGUAUGGAGUGAAAUGCCUGGGGCCAACGCCGGAACUGCGUUGGAAACUGUGAAGCUGGAGUGCAGGAGAGGUAAGCGGAAUGCGUGGUGUAGCGGUGAAAUGCGUAGAUAUCAGGAAGAACACCGGUGGCGAAGGCGGCUUACUGGACUGUAACUGACGCUGAGGCUCGAAGGCGUGGGGAGCAAACAGGAUUAGAUACCCGAGUAGUC
rnacentral:rRNA from 1 species